rnacentral:rRNA from 1 species
GACGAACGCUGGCGGCGUGCUUAACACAUGCAAGUCGAACGGAAAGGCCCUGCUUUUGUGGGGUGCUCGAGUGGCGAACGGGUGAGUAACACGUGAGUAACCUGCCCUUGACUUUGGGAUAACUUCAGGAAACUGGGGCUAAUACCGGAUAGGAGCUCCUGCUGCAUGGUGGGGGUUGGAAAGUUUCGGCGGUUGGGGAUGGACUCGCGGCUUAUCAGCUUGUUGGUGGGGUAGUGGCUUACCAAGGCUUUGACGGGUAGCCGGCCUGAGAGGGUGACCGGCCACAUUGGGACUGAGAUACGGCCAAGACGCCUACGGGAGGCAGCAGUGGUGAAUAGUGCACAAUGGGCGGAAGCCUGAUGCGGCAACGCCGCGUGCGGGAUGACGGCCUUCGGGUUGUAAACCGCUUUCGCCUUGGACGAAGCGUGAGUGACGGUAAUGGGUAAAGAAGCACCGGCUAACUACGUG